UGCAUAAAACUAUUUGUUAAACUUGUAAUUUCACUUGUAGUUUUGGACUUUCACAUGUGUUUUUUUUCCUUCCUCCUUUUCAUAGGACAUCCCAAAGCAGCCUACUAGUUCAGUAGACUCUGGAAUUUACAUGUUGAUGUAUGCACUUUAUCUAUCUGACCAUGGAGGAACCCUUUGAUUUUACUGCUGAUGACAUGCCUGCCAUUAGAAAGUGGUGAUGUUUGGUUGUUCUGGAGAACAGCUCGUAUGGGUGGACCAAGAAGAUCAUGGCAGCAGUGAACUCGUUGAGGAAUAUACUGAUACAGCCACACCAAGUGAGAGGGAAGAGUUUGACAUACUUGUUUUACAACAGUUGGAAGCACAAGGAAAGCACCACUGAGGCAUUUAAACUCGGGAUUACAUCUCAACCCGACUCAAA